CAAGACGGAGGGGCUGGCAUCUGUUGAGGGCCCUUGUGCUACAUCAUCCGUGGUGGAAGGCGGCAGGGCAAAACAGCCUGGGAGGAGAGCCCUCAUGACCUCUUAUUAGGCAACCCCCCUCAACACUGUUGCAUGGGGGAUUACGUUUCCAACAUAUUCGAACUGUGGCAGAAGGUUAGAUCUUCAGAGAUAUAGAGAUGGCCCUUGCCUUUAGAGGGAAAGAUGCAGUUGUUUUUCUUCCAAGGAGACUAUCAAGAAGCCAGAGAACCAAAAACAGUGAUAACUGAAAAAGAACUCUAGGACUGAAGGAACUUAGGAUGGUUUUUAAAAUUUUGGAAGUCCCAGCCUAUGUUGUAUCAAAUAGAUUUAAAAGUUUUUUUUUUGUUGUUGUUUUUUAUUUUUUGAGACUGAGUCUCACUCUGUAGGCCAGGCUGGAGUGCAGUCUUGCUCUGUGGACCAGGUUCACUGCAACCUCUGCCUCUGGAGUCCAGGUGAUUCUCAUGUCUCAGCCUCCCAAGUAGCUGGCAUUACAGGUGCACGCUGCUAUACCCAGCUAAUUUUUGUAUUUUUUAUUAGAGACAGGGUUUCACCAGGUUGGCCACGCUGGUCUCGAACUCCUGACCUCAAGUGAUUCUUCUGCCUCAGCCUCCCAAAAUGCUGGGGUGCUCGGCCUAAACGUUUUUUUAAUUGACAAAAAAUGUUGUAUGUAUUUAUUGUGUACAACGUAGUGUUUUGAAAUACGUAUACAUUGUGAAUGGCUCAACUGAGCUAAUUGACAUAUGCAUUAUCUCACAUAAUUUUUUUUGUGGUGAGAACACAAAUACACUAACUAUAGUCCCCAUGUUGUACAACAGAUCUCUUGAACUUAUUUCUCCUGUCUCACUGAAAUUUUGUGCCCUUUGACCAACAUCUCCCCAGCUCCCUCACUGCCCCACCUCUCGCCACCCCCAGGCCCACCAUUCUACUCUUUGCGUCUAUGCAUUCAAUUUUUCUUUUUUCCCCCAAGACAGAGUUUCGCUCUGUCUCCCAGGCUGGAGUGCAGUGGUGUGAUCUUGGCUCACUGCAACCUCCACCUCCUGGGUUCAAGCAAUUCUCAUGCCUUAGCCUCUUGAGUAGCUGGGAUUACAGGUUUGUGCCACCACGCCUGGAUAAUUUCUGUAUUUUUAGUAGAGAUGGGGUUUCACCAUGCUGGCCAGGCUGGUCUCAAACUCCUGACCUCGUGAUCUGCCUGCCUUGGCCUCCUAAAGUGCUGAGAUUACAGACGUGAGCCACCGCGCCUGGCCUCAAUUUUUUUUUUUUUUUUUUUUUUUUUUACAUUCCAGAUAUAAAUGAGAUCAUGUAGUAUUUGCCUGGGCUAUUUCACUUAAUAUAAUGUCCUCUGGGCUCAUCCAUGUUGUCAUAUAUGACAGCAUUUCCUUCUAAGGCUGAACAGUAUUUAAUUGUGUAAAUGCUUUCUUUAUCCAUUUAUUCACUGACGGACACUUAGGUUGAUUCUGUAUCUUGGCUAUUGUGAAUAAUGCUGUAAUGAACAAACACAGGAGUGCAGAUUAUUUCCUUAACAUACUGAUUUUAUUUCCUUUGGAUAUAUACCCAGUAGUGGGGUUGCUGGAGCAUAUGGUAGUUCUAUUUCUAUUUUUCUGAGCACCUCCGUAAUGUUUUCUAUAAUGGCUGUUUUCUAUAAUGUACAAUGUAUGAUUUUAUAAUGUUUUCUAUAAUAGUAAUUUACAUUCCCACCAACAGUGUGCAAGGGUACCCUCUUCUCCACUUCCUUGCCAACACCUUAACUUUUGUGCAUUUUUUUUUUUUUUUUGAGACAUGGUUUCACUUUGUCACCCAGGCUGGAGUGCAGUGGUGCAAUCACAGCUCACUGCAGCCUCAAACUCCUGGGCUCAAGUGAUCUUCCUGCCUCAGCCUCCCAAGUCACUGGGUCUACAGGUGCACGCCACCAUACCUGGUUAAUUUUUAUUUUUUGUGGAGACUCACUCUGUUGCCCAGGAUGGUUUCGAACUCCUGGGUUCAAGCGAUCCUUCUGCUUAGGCCUCCGAAAGUGUUGGGAUUACAGGCAUCAGCCACUGUGCCCUGCCAUCUUUGAUAAUAGCCAUUCUGCCAUGUGUGAGGUAAUAUCUCAUUGAGGUUUUAACUUUCAUUUCCCUGAUGGUUAAUAAUGUCGAGCACUUUUUCAUAUACAUGUUGACCAUUUGUAUGUCUUUUUUUUGAGAAAAGUCUAUUCAGGUCCUUUGCCUAGCUUUUAAUUGGGUUCUUGGUUUUCUUGCUAUUGACUUGUAUAUUUUGGAUAUUAAACCCUUAUCAGAAUGUGUGGCUUGCAAAUAUUUUUUCCAGGUUGUCUCUUCACUGUUGUUUCCUUUGCUGUGAAGCUUUUUAGUUUGAUAUAAUAUUAUUUGUCUAUUUUUGCUUUUGUUGUCUGUGCUUUUGGGGAUCAUAUUUAAAAAACCAUUGCCCAGACCAAUGUCAUGGAGCUUUUAUCUUGUUUUCUUUUCUUUUAUUUUCUUUUUUUAAAUCUUGUUUUCUUCUAGCAAUUUUAUAUUUUCAGGUCUUAAGUCUUUAAUCCACUGUGAAUUGAUUUUUGUAUAUGGUAUGAGAUAAAGGUCUAAUUCCAUUCUUUCGCAUGUAGACAAUUUUCCCAACACUAUUUAUCGAAGAGACUGUCCUUUCCUCAUGUGUGUUCUUGAUACCAUUGUCAAAAAUCAAUUUUCUGUAAAUACACAGACUUCUGGGCACUUUAUUCUGUUCCAUUGUCUAUGUGUCUUCUUUGUUGUCAGUACUGUACUGUUUUGAUUACUAUAACUUCUUAGUAUAUUUUGAAGUCAGGUAGUGUGAUGCCUCCAGUUUUGUUUUUUGCUCAAGGUUGCUUUGGCUAUUUAGGGUCUUUUGUGGUUCUAUUCAAAUUUCAGGAUAUUUUCUAUUUCUGUGAAAAAAGUCAUUGAAAUUUUGAUAUGGGUUGCAUUAAGUUUGUAGAUCACUUUGGGUAGUAUGGACAUUUGAACAACAUUAAUUCUUCUAAUUCAUGAACAUGGUUUAUCUUUCCAUUUAUUGGCAUCUUCUUCAAUUUAUGUUUUAUAGUUUUUAGUGUAUCAGUUUUUCACCUCUUUGGUUUAAUUUAUUCCUAAGUAUUUAAUUUUUUUAACUUUUCUGAAUGGGAUUGUUUUCUUGAUUUUUUUUCAGAUAGUUCACUGUUAGUGUAUAGAAAUGCUAUGAAUUUUUGUAUGUUGAAUUUUGUAUCCUGCAACUUAACUGAAUUCAUUUGUUAGUUCUAACUUUUUUGGUAGAAUCAGUAAGGUUUUCUGUAUUAUAACAUUAUCUUAUCUGCAAACAGGGACAGUUAAACUUCUUCCAGUUUGGCUGUCUUUUCUUUCUCUUGCAUAAUUGCUCCGGCUAGGAUUACCAUGUUGAACAGAAGUGGCUAGAGUGGGCAUCCUUGUCUUGUUUCUGAUCUUAGAGGAAAAGCUUCCAACUUUUCACCAGUGAGUUAGGAUGUUAGCUAUGGGUUUGUCAUAGAUGCUUCUUUAUUGUGUUAAGGUACAUUCCUUCUAUACCAAAUUUAAUAAGAUCAAAUACAUUAAAAUAUGCUCAAGUUCCACAUUAAACAGCAAUUUAGUUUUGCUAUAACAAUUUUGUAUGACUUUUGUAAUUGUAUUUGAAAUUAAUUUCAUUUUGCAUUUUUUUUCUUUUGGCACUGUAAUAUUUUUUCAGAUUGCAAACAUUUUCACAAGCUUUGAAAGACUUGGAAAUCUUGCACAUGGUGCUCACCAAGCCCAAAGACAAAAUGGCUCAGAGACCCUGGGGACCCAGCGUAGUGGAACACUGACCCUCAAGAGUGAGAAAGGAGACCCUGGCAGAAGACAGCAGAGGGGAUCGUGAAACCAGUCCCCAACAGACACGGAGAAAUGACAUUACUAAACACAGCAACUUUAUGGGAUUGUAUCCAGAUU
rnacentral:lncRNA from 10 species